UACGGGGGGGGCAAGCGUUGUUCGGAAUUACUGGGCGUAAAGGGCUCGUAGGCGGCCAACUAAGUCCGACGUGAAAUCCCCAGGCUUAACCUGGGAACUGCGUCGGAUACUGGAUGGCUUGAAUCCGGGAGAGGGAUGUGGAAUUCCAGGUGUAGCGGUGAAAUGCGUAGAUAUCUGGAGGAACACCGGUGGCGAAGGCGGCAUCCUGGACCGGUAUUGACGCUGAGGCGCGAAAGCCAGGGGAGCAAACGGG
rnacentral:rRNA from 1 species